CAAUAGCGUAUAUUAAAGUUGUUGCGGUUAAAAGCUCGUAGUUGGAUUUCUGCGGGGAGCGAACGGUCUACCUUAUGGGUAAGUAUCUGUCAGGCCCUUGCAUCCUCACAAAGAACGUCGCUGCGCUUUAUUGCGUGGUACGGAAUUUGUGACUUUUACUUUGAGGAAAUUAGAGUGUUCAAAGCAGGCUAUUGCUUGAAUACAUGAGCAUGGAAUAAUGGAAUAGGACUUUGGUCCCAUUUUGUUGGUUUCUAGGGCCGAAGUAAUGAUUAAGAGGGACAAUUGGGGGCAUCCGUAUUUCGUUGUCAGAGGUGAAAUUCUUGGAUUUACGAAAGACGAACAACUGCGAAAGCACUUGCCAAGAGUGUUUUCAUUAAUCAAGAACGAAAGUUAGAGGAUCGAAGAUGAUUAGAU
rnacentral:rRNA from 1 species